rnacentral:rRNA from 1 species
AUUGAACGCUGGCGGCAGGCCUAACACAUGCAAGUCGAACGAGUGGCGGACGGGUGAGUAAUGUCUGGGAAACUGCCUGAUGGAGGGGGAUAACUACUGGAAACGGUAGCUAAUACCGCAUACCAUCAGAUGUGCCCAGAUGGGAUUAGCUUGUUGGUGGGGUAACGGCUCACCAAGGCGACGAUCCCUAGCUGGUCUGAGAGGAUGACCAGCCAAACUGGAACUGAGACACGGCCCAGACUCCUACGGGAGGCAGCAGUGGGGAAUAUUGGACAAUGGGCGAAAGCCUGAUGGAGCCAUGCCGCGUGUGUGAAGAAGGCUUUCGGGUUGUAAAGCACUUUUGGUGGGGAAGCGUUAUCCGCAGAAGAAGCAACGGCUAACUACGUGCCAGCAGCCGCGGUAAUUC